CAGUUCUAACCCACAACGAAUAAAGAACAAAGUCAGUUACCACACCAUAAAUGCGAUACACAUCCUGUAUCAUACUUGGCCACCACGGAAGCAGACGAGCUGAUAGCAGCGCAUCCUUCUUUCCCCUAACCACUUCUGCGCAUGCGGCACCCUCUCACACGGAGAUAUAAAAGCAACCACAAUAAAGAGACAGCCAGUUUUUCGAUGCCCAACCACUGUGUGUGUCGACUUGCUCAGAGGCGCACGAUACAUGGUGUCAGAAGUGCCCACAGCCGCGCGGCAGGAAGCAAGCCAUGGACGCCUUAAAACUGCCCUGCCCACUACAGUUGACCGGUAAUGUCAGAAGGAACUGGGAACUCUUCAAGCAAAGACUGGACCUAUUCCUGACGGCUACCUCGACAGACCAUCCCAAGACAGAAGCAGUCAAGGCGGCCAUCCUCCUGAGCGCCGCGGGUGACGAAGCGCUUGAGGUCUAUAACAACUUCACAUUCGCCGAAGGUGAGCUCAAGGAUGACUACGAGACACUAGUGCGGAAGUUUGACGCAUACUUCAUUGAGCAAGGAAACGAGGUUUACGAACGCCAUUUGUUCCGUAUGCGAGUCCAGGAUGAAGGAGAGCGAUUCGAGCGGUUUGUACGUGACCUGAGGACACAAGCCAAGCUUUGUAAUUUCGGGACCCUUGAAGAGUCCCUGAUUAGGGACCAGAUUGUAUUCGGGACUAAUGACAAGACUGUCCGAGAGAAAAUGUUGCGGGACAAAACCUUGACUCUUCAAAAAGCCGAGAACAUAUGCAAAGCAGCUGAAGUGGCGGCACAACAAAAUGCUGCAUGGGUCAACGAGCGCGUGCAAGUAGACUCCACUCGCCGAUAUGAACGCGGCAAAGAACAAAAAGGCCGGUGCAAGCACUGUGGUCGAGCGCACGCGCCACGGCAAUGUCCAGCCUACGGAAAAACUUGCUACGCAUGUAAAAAGCAGAAUCACUUUUCAUCGUGCUGCAAGAACCCGCAAGUUCACGGCAUUGAGGAAGAUCGUGAAGACAGCUUUGAUGUCCUUGACGUCAGCAUCUGUGGCGUAAGCACAAAACCAGGGAAAGACUGGACAGUGCGUGGCAAGGUCUCUGGUCACGACAUAGAAUUGAAAGUCGAUACUGGUUCCCAAGCCAACUUGAUUCCGCUUAGCAUUUUUCAGCGCAUCUCGAAAGUGAACACGUUGCGCAAGAGCGCAGCAGUGCUGACUGCCUACAACGGCUCCGAGAUCAAGCAUCUCGGUGUCGCAACUAAACAUUGGCUUGAGUACAUGCAUCGAGUUCGGCAUUGUUCCAGCAAACAUCGACUCAGUCAGGCGAAGUGGAAGAGCAGGGCCAGAAACAGAAUUUGCACAUCUUUUUCAUGGAACGGGCUGCGUACAAAGAACGUACAAGAUGGUUCUGCGACCAGACGCGGUUCCAGUCGUACAACCUGCUCGGAAAGUACCUUUGGCACUGAAGCAACCAUUGCGUGACGAGCUGGCACGCAUGGAGAAGGCGUCCAUCAUCGUCAAAGUAGAAGAACCCACCGAAUGGGUAAGUCCUCUGGUUGUGGUAAGAAAAAAGAACGGCGCUCUCCGAGUAUGCAUGGACCCUAGAGAAGUAAACAAAAACAUAUUACGUGAGCACUACCCGAUGCCUACCCGCGAAGAUAUAGAAAGUGAGCUUUCAGGUGCUCGAUUUUUUUCGCGACUGGAUGCCAACUCUGGUUUUCAUCAGAUACCCCUUGAUGAAGCUACAUCGCGCGUCUGCACGUUCGCGACUCCCUUCGGGCGCUAUCGGUUCCUAAGGCUACCGUUCGGCAUUUCGUCUGCCAGUGAGGUCUUUCAAAAGACACUGACUGAGAUCUUUGAAAGUAUCCCAGGAGUACGCGUUUACGUCGACGACGUCCUCAUUUGGGGUGCUGACAAAACCCAGCAUGACCAACGUUUGCGUGCCGCGCUAGAAAAGGCAGAAAAAGCAGGGCUCACGUUUAAUCCUGAAAAAUGUGCGUUUGGUAUGAAGGAGAUAACAUUUUUAGGUGACAUAAUCAAUGAAGGCGGCGUGCGCCGAAGCCCCGAGUUGAUUGAAGGCAUCCGAGCCAUGCCCGCACCGGAAGACAAAAAUGCCGUGAGAAGAAUGAUGGGUGUCGUCAACUAUUUCCGAAAGUAUGUACCCAGCUUAAGCGAUAAAACGGUGUUGCUGCGAAGCCUCGUCAAGGACGAUACGGUUUUUGAGUGGACUACCGCCCAUCGGCGCGAGUGGCAAGACGUCUGCGAGGCAUUAACAUCGCCGCCGCUCCUGGCGUUUUUUGAUGAAACUAAAGAAACAAAGAUCUCGGCAGACGCAUCAGCCAUCGGCAUUGGCGCGUCGCUAUUGCAAAAACACCAGAAUGAAUGGCGCCCAGUGAUGUACGCCUCGCGAACGCUAACUGAUAGCGAAACGCGAUACUCGCAAAUCGAGAAAGAAACGCUUGGCAUAGUGUUCGCCUGCGAAAAAUUUCACCAGUUUACUUAUGGCCGCAAGAUCCUCAUAGAGACGGACCACCGACCGUUGUUGGCCAUCGCAAAAAAAUACAUCGGAGAAAUGCCACCCCGGCUACAGCGCUUCUUUGUUCGCCUUCUAAAAUACAAUUAUGACUUGCAGUUCGUUCCCGGAAAGGACCUGCUCCUGGCUGACAUGCUCUCCCGUGCGCCCUCCCUUUCACCAAACCCGGAAGCAAUGGAGGACAUCGAGGUCCACGCAGUUCGUCUAGUCUCGUGCAUGGUAACCCCAUCGACAAAACGUCGUCUUCAGGACGAGACACUAUCGGAUCCCUAUCUGAGUGCUGUAAUGCACCAACUGUCGCGUGGCACAACGGUUCAAGGGGAAUUACGUCCGUUUACGGCUGAGCUAUCUGUCAUUGACGGGAUACUACUGAAAGGAUGCAAAAUUGUCAUACCCAAGUCCAUGAGGAGCGAAAUGCUAACAAAGGGACGGCGCCUGCGCACCAACGUUCCGGAAUACAGCACUGAGCUGGGAUGCCCAAUAGUCAAGCAUCAACAGCGGGCCACGGGCAAAGCGCUGCAGCCUUUGCAACAAGGAGACACUGUACGCAUACUGGAUGACAACUGGUCACGUAAGGCAAGAGUGCUUCAAGAAGCGGCUCCCCGGUCGCACAUUGUGGAGACAGAGGAUGGAAGGCUUCUAAGGCGGAACAGACAACACCUGCUGCAAACGCGGGAAAAAUACCGCAGGGUAGACGAAGAUGACAACAGCAACGCUGAAAAUAGUAGCUUACAAAACGAAAGACAGGAGCCUCCAGAGCAAGGCCAAAGUGCACCCGGGUUAACUGGUCAUCCGCAAGCCAACAUACAGGUCUUCCCCAAAGUGGAGACAUCGGAAGCAGAGCCCCGCAGGUCGACCCGUCAGCGCAACAAGCCUCAACGGCUGCAAUACGAAGCGAAUUUCCGUCAAGUCUCCUAGCUUUUUUUUUUCUUACCUUGUGGUCAUAAAGUCUCUUUUUUUUUCUUUCGUUAAGGGAAAGGAGAUGUAUCAUACUUGGCCACCACGGAAGCAGACGAGCUGAUAGCAGCGCAUCCUUCUUUCCCCUAACCACUUCUGCGCAUGCGGCACCCUCUCACACGGAGAUAUAAAAGCAACCACAAUAAAGAGACAGCCAGUUUUUCGAUGCCCAACCACUGUGUGUGUCGACUUGCUCAGAGGCGCACG